rnacentral:lncRNA from 1 species
CUUGCUGGCCAGCAGCAAGCAGAAAUGGAGCUGAUCCUUCUGAGCAGAGGCAUCUGACAGUCAGCUCCAUAAGAGAACCUAUCUAGAAAGAGCAGCUGGCCGUGUGACCAAGGAUUGGAAUCGUAAGCCGCAGGGCUGUAGGUGCCUUCUCCACAUUCCUUCUCGGGGAGCGGAGCCCUCUAAAGCCACGCUCUCAUCCCGACGUUCUCAAGUAUGGUUUGCGGUGAACUGAGAGCUCAGACAUGACUGUUUGCUUGUUAAGCUUGUUCCUCAUUGCAAGCCCGAAGAAAAACC